rnacentral:rRNA from 1 species
GAUGAACGCUAGCGACAGGCCUAACACAUGCAAGUCGAGGGGCAGCGGGGAAGGAAGCUUGCUUUCUUCCGCCGGCGACCGGCGCACGGGUGAGUAACGCGUAUGCAACCUGCCCGUUUCAGUGGAAUAACCCGGAGAAAUCCGGACUAAUACCGCAUGAGUCCUUCGGGAGGCAUCUUCCGGAGGCCAAAGGGAGCGAUCCCGGAAACGGAUGGGCAUGCGUGACAUUAGCUAGUUGGCGGGGUAACGGCCCACCAAGGCGACGAUGUCUAGGGGUUCUGAGAGGAAGGUCCCCCACACUGGUACUGAGACACGGACCAG